UACGUAGGGAGCAAGCGUUGUCCGGAAUCAUUAGGCGUAAAGCGCGCGUAGGUGGCUUCGUAAGUCCGUUGUGAAAGUCAAAGGCUCAACCUUUGAAAGCCGAUGGAUACUGCGGAGCUAGAGUACGGAAGAGGCGAGUGGAAUUCCUGGUGUAGCGGUGGAAUGCGCAGAUAUCAGGAGGAACACCAAUAGCGAAGGCAGCUCGCUGGGACGUUACUGACACUGAGGCGCGAAAGCGUGGGGAGCAAACAGG
rnacentral:rRNA from 1 species